UGACUCAUUUGGGGAUUUAGUUGCUGUACAUGAGCAUUCGUGUUAUUAAGAACAAGGAAACAAGUGUACCAGAGUUGAAUGUGCAACAACACCAGAACUGUAUUGAAUUACUUAAAAUUAAACUAAUAAUAAGAGAACAUACCCAUGAGAUUUAUUUAUGAUUUAAAAACAGGUUUAUUAGAUCCAGGAUUCACCUUGUUAAGACGUUCAUCAUCGGCCUCAAUUCCGACACUCCCCAGGAUGUUUUUGAUGUCUUUGGCGGAUGGGUUGGCGUUGCCACCCAGAACAGCCAACAGGUAAGCGGCCACGUAACGCAUUCUAGAAGACAAUUUACACAUAUUUACAACUAAUUAUUGGCUUUGUUUAUCUUUUAUUCACAUAAUUUUAAGAAGCAUUUGACAUUUUAUAGAAUAUUGCAGCAUUUAAUAUGUCGCAUGGUUUAUAUAUCUAUCUUCGAUUCAUAUGAUCUUAAGAACAAUUUGACCAAAUAUAUGAAAAAGUGACUAAAAAAACCAUAAGAUAUAGACAAACUUCAGACUGUCUAAAAUGUGAUUGAAAUCUUUGGUCUCAUGAAGGGUGCUGCAAGUCUGGAAACAUGGUAUUAAAUUAAACAAAAUAUUUCUUAUAUAAAUAACUGAUAAAUUAUGAAAAUUAAUUACUGAACUGUCGCAUAGAUUGAAAGUGAGAUGUUUACUCUGACUGAACUUUAUAGAGGGAACUGCCAAGCAGCUGACUAGGUUUAUCAAGCGUGUUAUACAUGCUUUGUUUAGGCUUAGUGACAUAUACAUUUUAAAACACAAUUCAAAUAAUCAGAACACUUUUCAACCCUUCACGUCUUAUUUGGAGUAUUAACUAUAAUUACAGUCUGCCAUAUUUCAAUUAUACUCUGGAGCACAAGGAAACAAAAUGGAGUAUGCUGUUAUUUCACUUGAUAAACAUGUGCUUACAGAGUGGAAAUACGGUUGAAUUUUAAUCACGAAUACUAUCUAAAAAACUGUACCGAGACACACUUUAAUACUUUAAAUAUAUGAAAGAGAUGUCAAUAAAACAUACUUUAAGUCUGCGAAAGACACGAAACGUCGGUCACGCUGCAAUUUCCGGAAAAGAGAGGACGAGUAGAGGAAAAUAGCUGAAGAAUGUAGCAGUAUGCGAUGAUCUGAUUGGCUGCACGAUGCACCCUGUCAAAAUGGCAGACGAUGAUUGGAUACUAUUUAUUCCUCGUUCAUGUUGUGCUGUCAAUGCUUCUAUCAAGACUUUAAGGGUAAUAUUUGUUGAUUUUUGGCCGUUUAUUACUUAUUAAUAGUUUAUUGCGAUGUAAAUAUGUUUAUUAUGACUGAACCUAACUGUGUCUUUAUACUUUUAUAAUUUUUAAGUACACAUGAAAUCAAAAUUGACCAUAUUUACUUUGUUAGCGCAAAUUGCUAGAUUUGUGGUGAACAAUUCAUCCGUGCAAAUCAAUCCACAAAAAAAAAAAAAUUUGGCUUUGUAAUCUUUAAUCAAAAUAUGGAAAUGCACCUCCCCUCUGCAACGGCGUCCCUUCUCUGAUGACGUCAGUUUGACGGUUUGUUUAACCACGCCCUCCAACCGACCGACUGCUGUCUGCGAGUGCGAGCGUUGACGGCGCGUGAAAACAAACAGAGAUGGCGAGGAGGUGCGUUUUAGGUUGUGGCUCUCCCGAAACACUUUUCCCAUUCCCCAAAAUUCCCUCGUUGCGAUCCCGAUGGCUCGGGUUUUUGCAUUUCCAGGAAGGAGGGAUAUCAGAGAGGUCACGGUUGUGCUCGAAGCACUUUACACGCGAAUGCUUCAAAAACUGGACACAGCACCAAAUGGGGUUUGUGAAAUAUCUGACAUUAACAGAUACGGCUGUCCCAUCAGUGUACACCGUCGGUACCUCACAAAGUUUGACGCCCCUAACAAGAGAUGUGGCCUGUCAGUGUGAUGCACCAUCUUUGAAGAGUGUGUCGAUUCAAACGGAAACCCAAAAGCUGAAAAGACGGAGUAAAGCAGUUCAAGUGAAGCCUUUAGGCCACUCUGUUGGUACAGGCAUUGAACCUCCAUGUCUUCAACACCAAUUAAAAGGCCACGCUUGGAAGACACUGCAUUCGAUGAGAGCUGAACACGCACCUCGAAACAAUGUUCAGAUGUCACCUAUGAGCCUGAUAUCAAGUCAAUCCACACAAAAACAUUUUUUGGCUUCGUAAAGAUUUUUGAUAACGGCUGACAGUUUUUUAUUUCUAUGUUUCUUGUUGUAUUUUUGUGUGCGCAUUUGAAGCUUCAGUACCAAGAAAAAUUCCUUGUGUGUUUAAUAAAGCUCUUUCUGAUUCUGAUAUUAAUAGUCUCGAACUUAUUAAUUCUACAAAUAAAAUUAAAUAUGAAUUGUCUUAGCAGUUGCGCUAUUUUGAUUUUAGUUUUUAAAAUCCCCUCCAGUUAGUUAACAGCUACACAUUCAACACCUCAUAUGGUGAAUAGCAUACAUAGAUUUUUAAACAUUGUAUGAACAGCUACAUGUUCUAAAUAUAAAAAAGUUCCAAUAUGAAACUAAAACAGUAGAAUUUGUAUAACUUGGGCUUUUGUCCCAUUUGGUGGCAUUUGACCCGCCAUUAAGUUCUGACCUUGAUGCACAGCUUUCAUCAGCUCUUCAUCUUUUAUUAGUAGAGGCAAGGAUAAAAGGAUAGACACAAUAUAUCUUCCGCAUAUUGAUGUAAAGAUCCCUUUUUUGUGUGCAUGGCAAUAGCAAUGAUCAUCAAAAGGUGAUUUAUGACGUUACAUCAUAGCUAAAAUAAAGAAUAUCACAUAUUUAAAGAAACACUAACAGCUCCAGACAUAACCACAUUAAAAGUGAACAAAAAUGAAUAGACAGAAGCUUUUUAUUGACAGGAACAAAAACUCAAAAUGGCAAACACAUCAGUCACAAAAACCGUUUGGAUUGUUAAGCAAGUUUCACAAUUGUACUGGAAAUUAACACAGCCUUUUUAUAGUUUAUUGAAAGGAUUCAGUUUCGUCUUGAUGUAGAAAGCAGUGUAAUCCCUGAUCAGGGAAACUGAAUGAAUUUCAGGAAUGUCUACAGUUCUAUUAGCUCUUCAUCCUUCUCUUGUGUAAAGAGGAACGACACAGUUUCCAGAAUAAACUCCAAGAUUUUUCUCCAGUAGGUCACAUACCAGAUCUUAUAUAGGAAUUCUCCCAAGAGUACCAGUACGAAGAGUGCAAGAAGACCUAGGAAGAUCCGAUCGAUAUGGUGGAGCACCCUCUCUUUGAAUGUGCGCUGUUCCCAUGGCACUGCGGCCCGAGCCUCACUAUAUCGGCCAAAAUGGAGAAGGGCAUCGUCUUCACUGUUUAUCUCCUGUGUCUCCACCUCCGCAGCUCUGUCACCUUCUGCCAUCCUGCUUAAUGCUCUCCAAAAGUCAAGCCUUUGUAAAUUGCUUUUGUAAUGAAAUUUUCAACUUGUGGAGACAGGCCUCUUCUCAGCACGUGCUCUUUUGUUGGUUUUCCCUGAGUGCAGCUGAAGAAUAAAGCUUGAAGUAAUUGAA